rnacentral:tRNA from 1 species
CGGGAUGUGGCGCAAUAUGGUAGCGCACUCGCUUUGGGAGCGAGGGGUUGCCAGUUCAAGUCUGGCCAUCCCGACCA